rnacentral:rRNA from 1 species
CCGCGANUAGCUCAUUACAAUAGCCGUUGUUUCUUGGAUCCUCAAUUUACUUGGAUACCUGUGGUAAUUCUAGAGCUAAUACAUGCGACUAAGGGCCGAACUCACGUGACGCUUGCAUUUAUUAGAUCAAGACUAACCGGCUUCGGCCGUUAACUUGGUGACUCUGAAUAACUCAGCUGAUCGCACGGUCUAGUGCCGGCGACAUAUCUUUCAAGUGUCUACCUUAUCAACUGUCGAUGGUAGUUUAUGUGACUACCAUGGUUGUAACGGGUAACGGAGAAUCAGGGUUUGACUCCGGAGAGGGAGCCUGAGAAACGGCUACCACUUCUAAGGAAGGCAGCAGGCGCGCAAAUUACACAAUCUCAGCACGAGGAUGUAGUGACGAAACAUACCGAGGCGAUGCCCUUUCGGGUGUCGUCAUUGGAAUGAGUCGAUCUAAAAAAUUCGGCAAGGAUCUAGUGGAGGGCAAGUCUGGUGCCAGCAGCCGCGGUAAUUCCAGCUCCGCAAGUGUAUAUCUAUGCUGUUGCGGUUAAAAAGCUCGUAGUUUGAUUCGCGUACUUAGCACGCAGUGUGGCCUUUCGGCUACUACUGUGAUGCGGUACAUUAUCGUCAGUUUGUCGUUGAUGCUCUUCAUUGGGUGUCAGCGGCGGCUGUCAAGUUUACUUUGAACAAAUUAAAGUGCUCAAUACAGGCGUUUCGCUUGUAUAGUUCUGCAUGGAAUAAUAGAAUAGGACUUACGUUCUAUUGUGUUGGUUUUCAGAACGAAAGUAAUGAUUAAGAGGGACAGACGGGGUCAUUCGUACUGCCACGUUAGAGGUGAAAUUCUUGGAUCGUGGCAAGACGAACUACUGCGAAAGCAUUUGACAAGAAUGUUUUCAUUAAUCAAGAACGAAAGUUAUGGGUC